UUGCUUCCGCCUUGAACCAUAGUAGUGCUUCACGUCUGAUUGCGCUCAGCAGCUCCUGCACCAUGGCUUCGCAGCCGUCGAAGAGACACGCAUUAUGUUCCUUCCACAAGCUCCAGAUGAUUAGCAUGAAGAGUGCAUCAGUUCCUCUUCUCUUCUCCCUUGGCUACGAUGCUCUGACAUGUGCCCACCAGUCUUGCAAGGAGCAAUUAGCAGCUUGGAAUGUGCAGACGCACCCCAACCAAGUCAAAGCUCCCCACCAGGUUUGCUUGGCGUAGGAGUAGUUUCCGACUCCUGGUCGCAAAGCCAACAGGAUGCGUGAGCCUCCAAG
rnacentral:lncRNA from 1 species